CAAAAACUUGAAUUUGCAGUUUACAUUGUAUUAGAUAUUAUAAGUAAUCCAGAGAUGAUUUAAAGUAUACAGGAGGAUAUUUCUAGGUUGUAUGCAAAUACUACGCCAUUUUAUAUAAGGGACUUGAACAUCCGUGGAAUUUGGUAUCUGCAUGGGGUCCUGGAACCA